GGAUCUUUGGCAGAGUUGGUCGAAUGCACCGGUCUUGAAAACCGGCGAGGGUCACACCUCCCAGAGUUCGAAUCUCUGAGGGUCCACCA
rnacentral:tRNA from 1 species